UUACAUAUAUUUUAAAAAUUGUAUCUGUGUUAAAGAUGUUGAAAGCAAAGUUAUUUAUUGAAUUUUUCGUGUCAGUUUUGAUUUUGUCACUGAUUUCGGAAAACGAAGUUGAAGCAGCGCCGGCGCCAUGUGGCGAACUCUUCAGAAUGUUGAAAUACAAGCCGACAAAAGACGUAAAAGAUAAAGAGGAAGAAAAGAAGAAGAGAAAAGAAAAGGAAAGGAA